GGUAUGCAGCAAAAUGGGCAGUAUUAUUAGCUCCCUAACAUAGAUGAGAGACUGAAGCUGAGAGGAAGAGCUUUGCUUGCCUAAGGCCGCACACAGAUAAGGACCAAAUUCACAACAUACUUGUAAGUGCCAUCAAUCUCAACAGAAUUUACAGCAGGAGCCCAGGAGCAACAGCAUUUGCUGUGUAGCUUUGAUCAAAUCAUUCCUGGAGACAAAAG